UCUUAAGGCUCUGCCUUGCGUUGAGAUCUCCCUCGCGGAGUGCUCCAAACACAUGGGCGUCUGUCGUGCCUGAACCGCAACAUUCUGCGUCUAAAGGAAGUCGGCAGCGCCAGUCAACCGUCUA
rnacentral:misc_RNA from 1 species